UUGUGCUAUUUUUUGCAAGCU
rnacentral:piRNA from 1 species